rnacentral:rRNA from 1 species
UACGAAGGGGGCGAGCGUUGUUCGGAAUUACUGGGCGUAAAGGGCGCGCAGGCGGCGGACCAAGUCAGGCGUGAAAGCCCCGGGCUCAACCUGGGAGUGCGUCUGAGACUGGUUUGCUGGAGUUCGGGAGAGGAGCGUGGAAUUCCCAGUGUAGAGGUGAAAUUCGUAGAUAUUGGGAAGAACACCGGUGGCGAAGGCGGCGCUCUGGACCGAGACUGACGCUGAGGCGGCGAAAGCGUGGGGAGCAAACAGG